rnacentral:misc_RNA from 1 species
CCCUUCCCCUCGCCCUCACACACACACGCGCACGCAUCCAUCUUCGCCCGCAUCGCUCACAUACACACACACACACACACGCACACUAGAGAGCUUUUCAAUGAAGGGCAUCGGCCGCCAGUCUUUCCUCGUCGUGUUUGACUUUGACCACACCAUUGUCGACUGCAAUACGGAUGAGGUCAUCCCAGCGGCGCUGGGCCGCCGCGACAUGCAGCGGCGCAUGAUGUUGGAGAAGAAUCGAAUGCAGUGGACGAAGCUGAUGGACACCAUCAUCGCGCCCUUCCACAAGGAGGAGCUGAGGAAGGCGGCGCAGGACAGUGUUACCAUCGACCCGAAGAUGCCCGAAGUCUUUCAGUAUCUGAGAGAUGCACAGAAGCAGUACGUCGUCGCGGCGCCUGGGCCGGCGCCACCUGGCGAUGCGCGUGCGGCGACAGUGCAGGACAACAUGCCGGGUUUUAUAGAGAUGAACAUUGCCAGUGAUUCGAACCUUCUGUUCAUUGAUGCGGCGCUCGAUGCGCGCCUCCCGGGUGUGAAGGAGUGCAUGUCGCAGAUUCACAGCAACCCGUACUACGACCUGACAGCGCCUGGCGUGUCUCAGAGUGCCGGCUUGGACGUUUGCUAUGGCGCAGACCGGCCGGCCGGCAGCCUCAACGUGAACGACGAGGCGGACCGUAAUGCAAUGCACAACCCGGGCAUGACGCGCAAGUCGCGCGUGUGCUGGUACGAGCCGCACGGCCACCAGUGUCAGUGCUGCCUCGCCGGCGGAAAGCCGAACAUGUGCAAGUCCAUUAUCAUCGAACGUCUACUGCAGACAACGUCGCUCAUCGAUCCAACUGUCAUCUUCAUCGGCGAUGGCGCGAACGACUACUGCCCCGUGCUGAACGUGCUGCGGCCGCGUGACUACAUGUUCGCCCGCCGCGACUUUCCGAUCCACCACAUCCUCGCCGGUGCGCCGCAUCCGGCAUCCAGCAAGAACGGCGUCGCCGGUGACGUUGGCGGGUGCUGCCAUAUUGGCCUGUGGAGGAACGCUGCGGAGCUGCGAGAGCUCUUCCAGCUUGCCAUGGAGCACCCUGGCGCACGACUCCCGACGCUCGUGCGGUUCCGCGAUGCGGCUGCAAAGGAGUUCCGCUCCGUCACGAUGGUAAAACGCAUACCUUCCGUGCUGAGGCGUACCUUGGAGGAGCUGCGCAACGCGUCCGCGGCGUCCGAGAAGGGACGCCAGCGUGCCAUUGAGCUCAUGCGCGCUGUAGAGGCGAACGGCAUGGUGCCGCCGCUGCCGGGUCAGGCGUGCGUGCCGGCGUGGCUGCGCAACUACGCAUACGUCUCUGAAUACGACAACGUCAACGCCACUGAUGUGGCACGGCGAGUGAGCCCGCCGGCGGCAAAGGGCAAGGAGCAUCUUAUUGUGCCGCGCUGGGGUCAGUUGCCGUGGCUGCAUGGGGAGAUCUACUUUUACCACGUGCUGUGGCAGUGCUUAAUGAUGCAGGACGUGGCCGAGGGGGCAGCGGAAGAGGAUGUGACAGCCGCCGCGGGGACGGCGGCCACCUUCAACGUUGUCACUCAGCACGCCUUGCACAACCCGCUGUUCUCGCAGGAGUGCCGCGUUACGUCGACGCCGGGAUUGGUCAGCCCGCCGGCGAUCGCGAUGCAGAGCGCACGGAACGUGGCGCCGCUGGUGUGCCGGCCUGCCUCGAUCGCCGAGAGUGUCGUGGUUCGACGCGUGCAGCCCGGCAGCGAUCGCCCCGCUAGGCAGGUGCCAUACGCGGAGAUGGUGCGGCAGCCGAGCGGCUGCGUCAUCCCUCCAGCCGCAACGUUCUUCUCCCAAUAUCGCGACAUCUUUGCCCACGAGAAGCACGAUGUCUUGAUGGACUUCUUGAAAGUACGCGUGGUGCCGAUGCUGGCGUGCCAACCAUGGGGCGCCGAUCGCGACUACGGCGGCAUCUUGCUGCGGUGGAUGCUCUGGGGCAACGGCAUCGACCUCUCUAUGUUCACGCUCGAUCAGCUGGCCGACUCGCAUGGCAAGGCAGCGGGCGGCGAGGACAAGUCACACGCAGGCGAUGUGGCGGCGCUGCGGGAGGCCGAGAAGGCUGCGUCCCUGGCGCAGGAUGCAAACCUGGUUGGUAACGAGGUGGCCAAGGUGGAGGCCUACCUGCAGCGGCUGCUGGACCCUGGCGACGCAUGCAACGGUACUCGUCAGGUGGACGUCGUCAUGGACAACGUUGGCGUGGAGUGCAUCUCCGACCUGUGCUUUGGUUUGUGGUACGUGAACCAGGCGGCCAAGCUCGGCGCUGCCGCUGCUGCCGGCAACGCGCGUGUCGUGUUUCACGUCAAGCCAAUGCCGUACUACGUCUCCGACGUGACGCCGCGCGACUUCGACCUCACACUCGCCGUUUUGGAGGAUUCCUACACAAGCGAGGCCUACGAGCCGGAUGCGGCGAGGCGGAUGACGCUGAAAGCCGUGCUGGAGCCGUUCAUUGCGCAGGUGCGGGACUGCUUCGCGCGUGGCGCCUUCGCUGUCGACGCCGACACCGUGUGGACGCAGCCGUCCGAGUACCGAGACCUGCCGCCGCGUGUGAUAAACCUGUACUUCUUUACCCAGUGCGUGUCGGCACCGACUUCUGCUCGUGAUGCUGCCACGACGAUGGCGGUGUCGGGUGUGGCUGCGGCGCUGGCCGACACGGCCUGCCCUGCCUCCUCGGCGGCCGGGCUCUACCGCAUGAACAAGGCGCACGUCCAGGCCCGCAGCGGGUUGGUGCUCUUCAAGGGCGACCUUAACUACCGCCGCCUGGUUGGCGACCGCUACUGGGACCGCACCGACUUUUUGGCGACGCUGGCGAAGGAGGAGAGGCCUGACCUGCGCAAGGCGCCAGAGAGCUACAGCGCACUGGAGCAGUCCAUCGUGGCGGAGUUGACGCAGGACACGCCGGCAACCGCGCUGAUGGACGCACCGACCUUCGCCGAGGUGAUGUCGGCAUAUUGGCCAACGCAGGUCGUUCCAGUGUGCUCGAUCCGUACGAUUAAGAGCGAGUGCUGUGUUGGCGUGCCUGGCGACGUGAAGGCGAGGCUGGACCAGGAGCUAGGGCUGCCGUGGCGCGUCAGCGGCAAGUAUGGAGAGAUUCUCUUUGCUUGCUGAGGGCAGUCGCGGCCCUGAGUAUGAGCACCGUGAGGGUCAGGAGGUGGAGGGCACGGGAGGUGCGUGUGCACAAGUGAAUGACACGCUCGAUUCCUUGCAUUCCUUCGCUACCUUUUCGCACCCUCCCCACCCCCUCCACGCACGCACACGGCGCGACUGAUCAUCGUAUGAUGCGCCUGCCUUUUCUUGUUGGAUGUCGUCGGCAUCCUCUCCCGCCUUCUGGGGGCGGCCAAGACAGGGAAGCUCAGCGAACGACGAGGCCCGCCCCCACCCACUCCUCAUCCUCAUUACUUACCGAAAAAGCAGAGGACCUCGCCGAACGUAGACAGGCACUUCCGCCUCCAAAAGGGAGGCGCACACGCGCCAUGUAGGCGCACGCGCGUGUGUGUAGGGCCGCUAAUGCCGCGCGACUGUGGCUUUCGCGUCCCCUUGCUUGCUUAAGGGGCGCUGCUUCCCUUGUUACCGGAUUCCUGGCCUCUGCCCCGCCAUGACGCACGUCCGUUGGAGGCACGCGUGCUUCUCUCUCUUUUCCUCUCUGUCUGCCGUUGGUAUUCAUCUU